UCCCGGACUGGGGCACGAACCCGUGUCCCCUGCAUCGGCAGGUGGACUCUCAACCACUGCACCACAAGGGAAGCCCAGUUUCUGCACUUUUGAUGUGACAGGGUAGACACUCUUUUGGCUGUAGUGCCCAAACUUUUUAAUCUUUUUCUGGGUCUGUCUUUCAUCCUUGCCCAACCUGGAAUUUUGAGAAAUGAAGCUUUAGUGACUCACGCAAGAAAGGAGGUCAGAGACAAGAGUGCCACCCUGUGGCAAGAGCCUGGCAUUACCAUCCAGAAAGCCGCUGGUGAGGAUAAGAACUGAGUGACUUCUGUCUGUGGUAACAGGAUGUUGAUAGCUACAUCCUACUGAGCCUUUCUUAUAUGUCGGGCACUGUGCCAAGUCUUCCUCAUAGAUUAGUUUAUUUGAAGCAGGUACUAUUGUUACCCCCAUGUUGCAGAGGUAGAGAGGGAUGAGGUGAUUUGAUCAGGCUCCCUCAGAGGUGAAGGCUGGAGCUGGGAGGGAACUCAGGGCAGCCUGGCUCUAGAGCAAACAAUUAUAACAGUUUUGAUAUAUUUCCUCUGUAGCAAAAGAAGGAGGCCUUUCUGGUAUGGACCCCCAAAUUUUCGACUAUUUUUAGACCUGUGCUAUUUUGUUUACUGGAGCCGGGCAGUCAGAGACCUGGGUUCUGGCAUGAGCGCCCCUCUCUUCUACCCAGGGAGUUGCAGUCCCCAGUGUUCCUCUGGCCAAGCACACUGCAUGGGAGGAAUCCAUCUGUCUCCCUGACUUGCUCCCAGUCAGUAAUACCAGCUAGGAAGUGCCUUGGCCCUGACAUCUCAGCUGGAGGCUGCCAAGCAGAGGGGCCAGAGCUAAAUCCCAGUAUAAUGUACUGAAGGUCCAUCCAUGUUGUUGCAAGUGGCAGGAUAUCCUCCUUUCUCAAGAACACUCUGGCAAGCUGACCUGGGCAACGUGGACCAACCCUUUUACACAGACUACUAUGGAAAUGGAGUGGAGUAUGGGUCCUGCUUUGCCUAUGUGGUCCCUCAGUGUGAAGACUGAAGGCUGAGUUCUUAUCGUCGAGAAGGAAGGCUGAUUCAUUCCAUCCCUCCAGAGCCGGAAGACUUACAAGAAGAGCUGGUGUAGAAAGACAGUGCCUGGUACCAGGCUGGCUUAGUCCUGUGCCAGGGCUGGUGCCAUGUGGGAGAGGAGGCAGGAGGUGAGGAGAGGGGCUGGAUCUCAGCUCCAGUCUCCUUACCUCUCUCACCUCCUACUACAGGGUGUCUCUACCCUUCAGCCCAAUAGUGUUCACAGAUCUGACCAGUCCAUGGAGAUUCCUUCUUCCUGGGCAAGUGAGGAAGACGGUGGCACGGGGAAAGGGACCUUGAAUAUUAAUUAAUUAAUUCAAGGCAACAUAUUAAUUAAUUAAAUUAAAAAUUGCAAUGAACAUC